CCUACGGGAGGCAGCAGSYCGACSUHGCAUKCWMCCSGMCKCCAUGKCGGSSCGSGGKAAUUYRAUUCUACGGUGAAGAGCAGCAGUGGGGAAUAUUGCACAAUGGGCGCAAGCCUGACCGGCUAACUACGUGCCAGCAGCCGCGGUAAUACGUAGGGUGCAAGCGUUGUCCGGAAUUAUUGGGCGUAAAGAGCUCGUAGGCGGUUUGUCGCGUCUGCUGUGAAAUCUGGGGGCUCAACCCCCAGCCUGCAGUGGGUACGGGCAGACUAGAGUGCGGUAGGGGAGAUUGGAAUUCCUGGUGUAGCGGUGGAAUGCGCAGAUAUCAGGAGGAACACCGAUGGCGAAGGCAGAUCUCUGGGCCGUAACUGACGCUGAGGAGCGAAAGCAUGGGGAGCGAACAGGAUUAGAUACCCUGGUAGUCCAUGCCGUAAACGUUGGGAACUAGAUGUGGGGGCCAUUCCACGGUCUCCGUGUCGCAGCUAACGCAUUAAGUUCCCCGCCUGGGGAGUACGGCCGCAAGGCUAAAACUCAAAGGAAUUGACGGGGGCCCGCACAAGCGGCGGAGCAUGCGGAUUAAUUCGAUGCAACGCGAAGAACCUUAC
rnacentral:rRNA from 1 species